rnacentral:rRNA from 1 species
ACGACCCCAGGUCCAGCAAGACUACCUGCUGAGUUUAAGCAUAUCAAUAA